UAGGGAAUCUUCGGCAAUGGACGAAAGUCUGACCGAGCAACGCCGCGUGAGUGAAGAAGGUUUUCGGAUCGUAAAACUCUGUUGUUAGAGAAGAACAAGGACGUUAGUAACUGAACGUCCCCUGACGGUAUCUAACCAGAAAGCCACGGCUAACUACGUGCCAGCAGCCGCGGUAAUACGUAGGUGGCAAGCGUUGUCCGGAUUUAUUGGGCGUAAAGCGAGCGCAGGCGGUUUCUUAAGUCUGAUGUGAAAGCCCCCGGCUCAACCGGGGAGGGUCAUUGGAAACUGGGAGACUUGAGUGCAGAAGAGGAGAGUGGAAUUCCAUGUGUAGCGGUGAACUGCGUAGAUAUAUGGAGGAACCCCAGUGGCGAAGGCGGCUCUCUGGUCUGUAACUGGCGCUGAGGCUCGAAAGCGUGGGGAGCAAACAGG
rnacentral:rRNA from 1 species